rnacentral:rRNA from 1 species
AACGAACGCUGGCGGCAUGCCUAACACAUGCAAGUCGAACGAGACCUUCGGGCCUAGUGGCGCACGGGUGCGUAACGCGUGGGAACCUGCCCUUAGGUUCGGUAUAACUCCCCGAAAGGGGUGCUAAUACCGGUUAAUGUCUUCGGACCAAAGAUUUAUCGCCUUUGGAUGGGCCCGCGUUGGUUUAGCUAGUUGGUAGGGUAAAAGCCUGCCAAGGCGACGAUCCAUAGCUGGUCUGAGAGGAUGACCAGCCACACUGGGACUGAGACACGGCCCAGAAUCCUACGGGAGGCAGCAGAGGGGAAUAUUGGACGAGGGGCGAAAGCCUGAUCCAGCAAUGCCGCGUGAGUGAUGAAGGCCUUAGGGUUGUAAAGCUCUUUUACCCGGGAUGAUAAUGACAGUACCGGGAGAAUAAGCUCCGGCUAACUCCGUG